UCAGCUAAGACAAGAACAACAGGUAAAAUGGCGAUGAAUGGGCAGAGAGGGUCGGUUAACUACACACAGAGCCUGAGUUCAUCGCUAGGGCUGACAGAUAAACAAAGGUAAACAAAGUGGAGUACCGUGAUAAAUGAACAGUCCAGCAGGCAUCAGCUAUGUAGCCAAGUGAUCAUAGGGUCCAGUGUACAGCAAUAGAUGAAACAGGGAAGCCGCUAGGUAUUCGUUACUACGCUAGCACGCGGGAGACACGGCGUUUAAAGUUAGCAGUCCGGAGUAAGUAGAAGCGUCUGCUCUGUCGUCCGGUAAAGGCCGAUUGGAGGCACAGCUGAUGGAAUUACGUCUGCGGACCAGUCGUGGUGGUACGGCGGGGCGCCAUGUCGAUGAAGGGACCGGGCCAGAUGGCGAAAGAGGUGUGCUUCCCGUGGGGGAAAGAUUCUAUUGGGGAAAGGCUCCUGUGGAGGUGCCAUGGAAGCCAAGAAGCUGUCUGCGAGAUUCUGGAAUAGCAACAGCCUCAAGGCGUUCACGGCUGCGUCUUAACUGUCUGGAGAGCUACCUGCCAGCUUGGUUUUAAUUCCUUGCAAGAGGACCUGAGCCCUAGGACCAUGCCUUAGGACUACCUGGCCUGAUGUUUCCUUGCU